UACGGAGGGGGCUAGCGUUGUUCGGAAUUACUGGGCGUAGAGCGCACGUAGGCGGCUUUGUAAGUUAGAGGUGAAAGCCCGGGGCUCAACUCCGGAAUUGCCUUUAAGACUGCAUCGCUAGAAUUGUGGAGAGGUAAGUGGAAUUCCGGGUGUAGAGGUGAAAUUCGUAGAUAUUCGGAAGAACACCAGUGGCGAAGGCGGCUCACUGGACCGGUAUUGACGCUGAGGUGUGAAAGCGUGGGGAGCAAACAGG
rnacentral:rRNA from 1 species